GUGGGGAAUAUUGGACAAUGGGCGCAAGCCUGAUCCAGCAAUGCCGCGUGGGUGAAGAAGGUCUUCGGAUCGUAAAGCCCUUUCGACAGGGACGAUGAUGACGGUACCUGUAGAAGAAGCCCCGGCUAACUUCGUGCCAGCAGCCGCGGUAAUACGAAGGGGGCUAGCGUUACUCGGAAUUACUGGGCGUAAAGGGCGCGUAGGCGGCUCUGUUAGUCAGGCGUGAAAUUCCUGGGCUUAACCUGGGGACUGCGCUGGAUACUGCAGGGCUUGAGGCCGAGAGAGGGUGGUGGAAUUCCCAGUGUAGAGGUGAAAUUCGUAGAUAUUGGGAAGAACACCGGUGGCGAAGGCGACCACCUGGCUCGGUUCUGACGCUGAGGCGCGACAGCGUGGGGAGCAAACAGGAUUAGAAACCCGUGUAGUCC
rnacentral:rRNA from 1 species